UCACUUGGGCAGUACAUAUACUAAAAUUAAAAAAAAAUACAGAGAUUAGCAUUGCCCCUGCAUAAAGAUGGCAUGUGAAAGUAAAAGAUUAAUUUUGUCUUU